CCUGGCUGGCACUCCUUCAAAGUGUCAAAUCUCAAGGACAGUUGGUGGAAUCUGGAGGGGGUGUGAGAAGACCUGGAGGGUCCCUCCGUCUCUCCUGCCAAGGCUCUGGAUUCACCUUCAGCAGCUAUUGGAUGCACUGGAUAAAGUCAAGGGACGCUUCACCAACUCCAGGGACGAUGCCAAAAGCCAGCUGUAUCUGCAGAUGAACAAUCUGGAACUGGAGGAUACUUCAGUUUAU